GGACGCAGCGAGAAUGCGCUAUGGCCCCACCACGCAUCUAUGAACCAGGAAGUGAGUCCUCACCAGACACAGUGUCUGCUGGUGCCUUGAUCAUAGGGUUCCAGCCUCCAGAACUGAACUGAAUGUGACAUAGUGAACAGGAAUUAGAAGAAAACCAGUACUCAGGAGAGUGGAGUUCUAACUGCAGCAGCCAUCCAGUGAUACCAUCGUUGGAGACACCCAUUUACAGCUGUAAGCAGGCAUUUAUGUUGUCGUGAACUACACACUGAGUACUGGGAUGUUGGAUAUUGUGUGGACACUUGAAGAAGAAUGAAGAAUUUAGCUAUGAUGGAUUUAUACUAAGAUUGAAAGAAUCUUUAUGUUUCUAGAACUGGAAAGGAUCACAGAAGUCUUUGAUUGAUGACUCCACUCUUCAAGGUGAUGGAUAUGUUAAUUAGCUUUAUGGUGGCAAAUGUUUCAUAAUGUAUAUCAAAACAUCACAUUGUAUACCUUAAAUAUAUACACUUUUUAUUUGUC